rnacentral:lncRNA from 1 species
CCUCGCUCCCUCUCGGCGCCUCCUCUGCCUGGGCUCCCACUUUGGCGGCACUUCAGGAGCCCUUCAGCCCACUGCUGCACUGUGGGAGCGCCUUUCUGGGCUGGCCAAGGCCAGAGCCGGCUCCCUCAGCUUGCAGGAAGGUGUGGAGGGAGAGGCGCGAGCAGGAACCAGGGCUGCGCGGGGUGCUUGUGGACCAGCUGGAGUUCCAGGUGGGUGUGGGCUUGGCGGGCCCUGCACUCGGAGCAGCCAGCCGGCCCUGCCGGCCCCACGCAAUGAGGGGCUUAGCACCCGGGCCAGUGGCUGCAGAGGGUGUACUGGGUCCCCCAGCAGUGCCGGCCCACUGGCGCUGCGCUCGAUUUCU